rnacentral:rRNA from 1 species
UACAGAGGUCUCAAGCGUUGUUCGGAUUCAUUGGGCGUAAAGGGUGUGUAGGCGGCCUGUUAAGUUCCGUGUGAAAUCUCCCGGCUCAACCGGGAGGGUGCGCGGAAAACUGGCGGGCUAGAGUGCGGGAUGGGAGAGUAGAAUUCCUGGUGUAGCGGUGAAAUGCGUAGAUAUCAGGAGGAAUACCGGUGGUGUAGACGGCUCUCUGGACCGCAACUGACGCUGAAACACGGAAAGCGUGGGUAGCAAACAGG